AAAUCGCGAUUAUUUUUAAUAGUUCUUUAGUAUUUAAUCAUAGUGACAGGAAAAGGAAAGAAAACAUAAUUAUAAUUCGAAUCUACAGUCACGUGGAUGGAAAAUUCAAAUUCGUAGGCGUUUCGUAUGUCAGGAAUCGGGAUGCAUGGAUAAAGUGAAUAUUCCAGAUUUUCUUGAACAAAAAGGUAGUUCAAGCGUUUGACAUGCUCUCAAAGGUCGGAGGGGCAGAAAUACGUGAUAAUGUAAAAAGAAACAUGAAUCAUGGGAAAUGAAAAUGAUAUCACAAACGCCAUUGGACAUUAACAUGUUACAUCCUCCGGACAGACGAGGGGUGGUGAGAGAAGGUCAUAUAUCUAAAGGCAUCACACCUCCAAAUUCGUGCUAAUUCUCGUGGA